UACGUAGGGUGCAAGCGUUGUCCGGAAUUAUUGGGCGUAAAGAGCUCGUAGGCGGUUUGUCGCGUCUGCUGUGAAAACUCGGGGCUUAACCCCGGGCCUGCAGUGGGUACGGGCAGACUAGAGUGCGGUAGGGGAGACUGGAAUUCCUGGUGUAGCGGUGGAAUGCGCAGAUAUCAGGAGGAACACCGGUGGCGAAGGCGGGUCUCUGGGCAGUAACUGACGCUGAGAUGCGAAAGCGUGGGGAGCAAACAGG
rnacentral:rRNA from 1 species